rnacentral:pre_miRNA from 1 species
ACAAGAACUUAUAGUACUUGUGGUUGAAUUGACCAAUUGUAGGGAGUCCUUUUGCCUAAGCGACUCCCUAAUUGCGUCGAUUUACCUACAUGAUGACUAUAC